UGUCGGUCCUCCCGCAACGAUACUCUGCAAACCCCGCCAGGCCCGGAAGGGAGCAACGGUAGUAGAGGAUUCGUGUGCCGGUAUGUGGCUGGCAUAG
rnacentral:SRP_RNA from 1 species